GUUUGUCCAGAAACAGAAGCUUUGCAUUUCACUUCUUCUGGGAGGGAUAAAGACACAUUUUACAAAAGAUUCAUCAACAAGGAGAAAGGACCAACUCCAUUCAUCGCAUAGCAGUCCACAACUACCAGAAAAGAUCUCACAGACAUCUCACAGAGUGUUAUCUGUGUUUACCCAGAAAUGACUGACACUCACCUGAGUCACAUUCCAGAGGAAUUAUGCAUUGGUGAAAUGAUCCAGUCAGAGCAGAAAAAUGUUCCAGGAGAACAAACAGAACAACACCAUGAAGUAAAAAACCAAGGACAAGAUACACAUACAGACAUACUCUGUUCAUCACAUACCAGUACACAAACAACAGAUGAGAUGGAUAACUUAGAGAGUAUACUCAGU